rnacentral:rRNA from 1 species
ACGGGAGGCAGCAGUGAGGAAUAUUGGUCAAUGGGCGAGAGCCUGAACCAGCCAAGUCGCGUGAAGGAUGAAGGUUCUAUGGAUUGUAAACUUCUUUUGUCUGAGGGUAAAGUGAGUCACGUGUGGCUUAUUGCAAGUAUCAGACGAAUAAGCAUCGGCUAACUCCGUGCCAGCAGCCGCGGUAAUACGGAGGAUGCGAGCGUUAUCCGGAUUUAUUGGGUUUAAAGGGUGCGUAGGCGGGCUAUUAAGUCAGCGGUCAAAUCGUGUUGCUCAACAAUACUGAGCCGUUGAAACUGGUGGUCUUGAGUGUAAACGAGGUAGGCGGAAUGUGACGUGUAGCGGUGAAAUGCUUAGAUAUGUCACAGAACCCCGAUUGCGAAGGCAGCUUACCAGCAUACAACUGACGCUGAGGCACGAAAGCGUGGGUAUCAAACAGGAUUAGAUACCCUGGUA